AGGGAUCAUUAACACGUAUCCACGUAAACACCUGUGAACUGUACGUUCCGCACUUGGGUCCAAAUCAAAGGUUAGCAGGCUUCGGCGACGCGAGCAAUCGCGUGCCUGCUCAUCGGCUCAUUCAUUAACUGCUUGAGAAAGGAUCCAAGUGUGCAGACGCCGUGUUUCGUACCAAACUAUUUUAACACCUUGUAACAUCUUGUCUAAUAUUCUUGAACUGGCUAACGCUUGUUCAACGGAAAUCAUAAACUAAAGCACAACUCUUAGCAACGGAUAUCUUGGUUCUC
rnacentral:misc_RNA from 1 species